CGAACGCUGGCGGCGUGCUUAACACAUGCACGUCGACCGGAAAGGCCCUGCUUGCAGGGUACUCGAGUGGCGAACGGGUGAGUAACACGUGGGUGAUCUGCCCUGCACUUCGGGAUAAGCCUGGGAAACUGGGUCUAAUACCGGAUAGGAGCCAUUUUUAGUGUGAUGGUUGGAAAGUUUUUUCGGUGUAGGAUGAGCUCGCGGCCUAUCAGCUUGUUGGUGGGGUAAUGGCCUACCAAGGCGGCGACGGGUAGCCGGCCUGAGAGGGUGGACGGCCACAUUGGGACUGAGAUACGGCCCAGACGCCUACGGGAGGCAGCAGUGGGGAAUAUUGCACAAUGGGCGCAAGCCUGAUGCAGCGACGCCGCGUGGGGGAUGACGGCCUUCGGGUUGUAAACUCCUUUCGCUAGGGACGAAGCUUUUUGUGACGGUACCUAGAUAAGAAGCACCGGCUAACUACGUG
rnacentral:rRNA from 1 species